AAGGAACUGCACUUUAAAUGUCUCAUAUCAAACUUAAAGUGCAUAUACAAUCCCAACACACUUUAAAUUAAAACAAUACAUUGGAAAAGUCAAAGCAAACAGGAAUCAGUAAAACAGAAGCAAUACAGGCUCCAUAGGACACACUAGGUUAGGACAAUAGGCUCCAUAGGACACACUAGGUUAGGACAAUAGGCUCCAUAGGACACACUAGGUUAGGACAAUAGGCUCCAUAGGACAACAGGCUCCAUAGGACACACUAGGUUAGGACAAUAGGCUCCAUAGGACACACUAGGUUAGGACAAUAGGCUCCAUAGGACACACUAGGUUAGGACAAUAGGCUGCAUAGGACAAUAGGCUCCAUAGGACACACUAGGUUAGGACAAUAGGCUCCAUAGGACACUAGGUUAGGACAAUAGGCUCCAUAGGACACUAGGUUAGGACAAUAGGCUCCAUAGGACACUAGGUUAGGACAAUAGGCUCCAUAGGACAAUAGGCUCCAUAGGACACACUAGGUUAGGACAAUAGGCUCCAUAGGACACACUAGGUUAGGACAAUAGGCUGCAUAGGACAAUAGGCUCCAUAGGACACACUAGGUUAGGACAAUAGGCUCCAUAGGACACACUAGGUUAGGACAAUAGGCUGCAUAGGACACUAGGUUAGGACAAUAGGCUCCAUAGGACACACUAGGUUAGGACAAUAGGCUCCAUAGGACAAUAGGCUCCAUAGGACACACUAGGUUAGGACAAUAGGCUCCAUAGGACACACUAGGUUAGGACAAUAGGCUCCAUAGGACACACUAGGUUAGGACAAUAGGCUCCAUAGGACACACUAGGUUAGGACAAUAGGCUCCAUAGGACACACUAGGUUAGGACAAUAGGCUGCAUAGGACAAUAGGCUCCAUAGGACACACUAGGUUAGGACAAUAGGCUCCAUAGGACACACUAGGUUAGGACAAUAGGCUGCAUAGGACAAUAGGCUUCAUAGGACACACUAGGUUAGGACAAUAGGCUCCAUAGGACACACUAGGUUAGGACAAUAGGCUCCAUAGGACACUAGGUUAGGACAAUAGGCUCCAUAGGACACACUAGGUUAGGACAAUAGGCUCCAUAGGACAAUAGGCUCCAUAGGACACACUAGGUUAGGACAAUAGGCUCCAUAGGACAAUAGGCUCCAUAGGACACACUAGGUUAGGACAAUAGGCUCCAUAGGACACUAGGUUAGGACAAUAGGCUCCAUAGGACACACUAGGUUAGGACAAUAGGCUGCAUAGGACAAUAGGCUCCAUAGGACACACUAGGUUAGGACAAUAGGCUCCAUAGGACACUAGGUUAGGACAAUAGGCUCCAUAGGACACUAGGUUAGGACAAUAGGCUCCAUAGGACACUAGGUUAGGACAAUAGGCUCCAUAGGACACUAGGUUAGGACAAUAGGCUCCAUAGGACAAUAGGCUCCAUAGGACACACUAGGUUAGGACAAUAGGCUCCAUAGGACACACUAGGUUAGGACAAUAGGCUGCAUAGGACAAUAGGCUCCAUAGGACACACUAGGUUAGGACAAUAGGCUGCAUAGGACACUAGGUUAGGACAAUAGGCUCCAUAGGACACACUAGGUUAGGACAAUAGGCUCCAUAGGACAAUAGGCUCCAUAGGACACACUAGGUUAGGACAAUAGGCUCCAUAGGACACACUAGGUUAGGACAAUAGGCUCCAUAGGACACACUAGGUUAGGACAAUAGGCUGCAUAGGACAAUAGGCUCCAUAGGACACACUAGGUUAGGACAAUAGGCUCCAUAGGACACACUAGGUUAGGACACUAGGUUAGGACAAUAGGCUCCAUAGGACACACUAGGUUAGGACAAUAGGCUCCAUAGGACAAUAGGCUCCAUAGGACACACUAGGUUAGGACAAUAGGCUCCAUAGGACAAUAGGCUCCAUAGGACACACUAGGUUAGGACAAUAGGCUCCAUAGGACAAUAGGCUCCAUAGGACACACUAGGUUAGGACAAUAGGCUCCAUAGGACAAUAGGCUCCAUAGGACACACUAGGUUAGGACAAUAGGCUCCAUAGGACACUAGGUUAGGACAAUAGGCUCCAUAGGACACACUAGGUUAGGACAAUAGGCUGCAUAGGACAAUAGGCUCCAUAGGACACACUAGGUUAGGACAAUAGGCUCCAUAGGACACACUAGGUUAGGACAAUAUGCUCCAUAGGACACACUAGGUUAGGACAAUAGGCUGCAUAGGACAAUAGGCUCCAUAGGACACACUAGGUUAGGACAAUAGGCUCCAUAGGACACACUAGGUUAGGACAAUAGGCUCCAUAGGACACACUAGGUUAGGACAAUAGGCUCCAUAGGACACACUAGGUUAGGACAAUAGGCUGCAUAGGACACACUAGGUUAGGACAAUAGGCUCCAUAGGACACACUAGGUUAGGACAAUAGGCUCCAUAGGACACACUAGGUUAGGACAAUAGGCUCCAUAGGACACACUAGGUUAGGACAAUAGGCUCCAUAGGACACACUAGGUUAGGACAAUAGGCUCCAUAGGACACACUAGGUUAGGACAAUAGGCUCCAUAGGACACACUAGGUUAGGACAAUAGGCUCCAUAGGACAACAGGCUCCAUAGGACACACUAGGUUAGGACAAUAGGCUCCAUAGGACACACUAGGUUAGGACAAUAGGCUCCAUAGGACACACUAGGUUAGGACAAUAGGCUGCAUAGGACAAUAGGCUCCAUAGGACACACUAGGUUAGGACAAUAGGCUCCAUAGGACACACUAAGUUAG